AACGAACGCUGGCGGCAUGCCUAACACAUGCAAGUCGAACGAGACCUUCGGGUCUAGUGGCGCACGGGUGCGUAACGCGUGGGAACCUGCCCUUAGGUUCGGAAUAACUCCCCGAAAGGGGUGCUAAUACCGGAUAAUGUCUUCGGACCAAAGAUUUAUCGCCUUUGGAUGGGCCCGUGUUGGAUUAGCUAGUUGGUAGGGUAAAAGCCUACCAAGGCGACGAUCCAUAGCUGGUCUGAGAGGAUGAUCAGCCACACUGGGACUGAGACACGGCCCAGGCUCCUACGGGAGGCAGCAGGAGGGAAUCUGCCGCAAUGGGCGAAAGCCUGACGGAGAAACGCCGCGGGAGUGAUGAAGCUCUUUUGAUCGGAAAACUCUGUUAUGAGUGAAGAAAAUAUGUGUCAGUAACUGUGCACAUAUUGACGGUACCUAAUCAGAAAGCAACGGCUAACUCCGUG
rnacentral:rRNA from 1 species